CCUGAAAUUGUUGUUGUGAAUGAAGAAAAGAAAACAUGAGAAGAUGAGAAGAAGGGUAAGAGGUCUGGUGCUUCGUGCUCAAGCUUGAAUUUUCCUUGCAUGGAUAAACUCAGGGAUGAGCUUUCGCUUUCUUGAGAGAAAUGAGGUUGGGUACUUGCAUCUGAGGAUUCUCGGCAACAUUGGAAUGGUUUCAAGGUGGAGAGAUUCCUCCUGAGAUCGGAAAGAUGGGCAGCUUGGAAG